rnacentral:lncRNA from 1 species
CACUGCGCCCAAUCAAUGCUUUCCAUUUUAUCUUGGCUGCUAAGUAACUCAGAAGUAACUUUAAAUCUCAACCUUAGUAACCAUGUAGGAGCUGGAUAAUUAUUCACUACUUUUAAGCACUCAAGUCUUCCUUCACCUGUAUGAUAAGAACCAAACUUCUCUGUAAAUUAUGCAUGUCUUUUUAUGAUCUGGCUCCUGCUCCCUCAUCAGCUUCAUAUCCUAUUCACUCUAGUUUAUACUCCCUGUUACAAUAAAAUGGAAUUUCUUGUAGCUCCCUGAACUAGCUAUGAUAUUCCAAAAUCCUAUGUAUUUCCGAAUGCCACUUUUUCUUUCUAAUUAUGAUGUCUUCCCUUCCAGAUGACAUCAUAAUUAGUCCUUUCUAAGCCUAAUUAAAACAUCUGCUCUGGACAAAAUCCUUUGUUGACUUCCUUCCACCAGCCCUGGGAAGAAUCUAUCAUCCCCUUUCCUCUAACACCCCUAACCCCUUUCCUCUAACACCAAAUGUGGUGUUCCAUCACCACAUUUAUAGAAAAAUAUAUAUUACAAUUAUUGGUUUCUAUGUCUGUUUCCAGUUCUCCUCAACUUGCUCCUCAAGAAAUACUGUGGCUGUUGUAACACAUUUCCUUUUUGCCUGGUUACCAGGAAGCUCACAAUCGAGUCUGUGGCCAUCCUUUAGCAAUUAGACAUUUUGGAUCCAAGGACCAAUAGGUUGACUCAUUCACUAGUGGAGAGUAUCAAAGAAAGAAAAAUUUAAAAACUAAACAACAGAUUUGACAAGCUGCCUGCCAUCUGAAAGUGAGAAAGAAUGUGAUAUUAAUUGAGCAUCUUCUGAGCAAGCUAUAUGCUGUACAUAUGCUUUUCUUCAAAACAUCCCUUCAAGAAAAUGGAAACCCAAAUCUGUGCCACAUUCCUCUGCAAAGAGUGUCCAAAUGAGGGAGAGAAGAGGUAUGCUUAAUAAAUUAUAAGGUUUUAUGUCAGCAACACCACAAAAAAUUACCUACAACUGUAUUAUGAGCUACAAAGAACAAAUUCAUAAAUCUAAUGGAUAGAUCUUAUAUUUAAGGAAACAGAUUAUUCCAACGUGAAUAACUUUGAAGAGAGUUAAACUGAAUUUGUCAUAAUUCAUUUUCCAGUUUAAUUGCACAUUAUACAUUAAUAUUUACCCUCUUUGGCUCAGA